UAUGUGAUCGUCUCUCGCAUAUCAAUAAGCGGAGGAAAAGGAGUAUACCUACGCUUAGGAUGUUGAAGUUGUAGCACAUCAUACACGCAUGACACACUGCAUAUCAAUAAGCGGAGGAAAAGAAACUAACAAGGAUUCCCUUAGUAACGGCGAGUGAAGCGGGAAGAGCUCAAAUUUGAAAUCUUCAAGGUUUUACCUUGACGAAUUGUAGUUUAAAGAAGUGUUUUCUGCUGAAGUUUUGGUAAAAGUUCUUUGGAAUAGGACAUCAUAGAGGGUGAGAAUCCCGUAUUUGACCAUUAUUUUCAGCUUUGUGAUACACUUUCAAAGAGUCGGAUUGUUUGGGAAUGCAGUCCAAAAUGGGUGGUAAAUUUCAUCUAAAGCUAAAUAUUGGCGAGAGACCGAUAGCGAACAAGUACCGUGAGGGAAAGAUGAAAAGAACUUUGAAAAGAGAGUUAAACAGUACGUGAAAUUGUCAAAAGGGAAGCGUUUGACACCAGUGUUGUUUUCUCGAAAAUCAAUUAAAAAUGGCUCGAUUUUGUAUUGCUUGAGACCUUAAAAGCUCACUGUACAUUUUUCGUGUCUUUUUUAAUGCACUUUUCGUUUAACAAGUCAACAUCAGUUUCUUUUGUUGUAAAAGGGUCAUUGGAAGGUGGCUUUCUUUUCGGAGAAAGUGUUUAUAGCCUUUGGCCUCUGCAAUCGGAGAGACUGAGGUCUGCAGCGUAGACUCUUCGGGGUUAGAUACAUUUGUGCUAAGUUAUAGCUUUUUAUAGACAACUUGUUGACUAUAAUUAGUCUUGUAGCUUACUCGCUUAUGCUAUUUUACCUACGCUUAGGAUGUUGACGAUCAGCUGAGCGCG
rnacentral:rRNA from 1 species